UUGGUUCCUGGCUCACGAAGUAAAUAUGUGCAUUUUAUCAAAUGCUUUUCCCCUGCGCUGACUGAAAUGCUUGCACUGUUCCUCUAGGACAUCUGUACGUUUUAAGGUUAAACUGGGGCCCGGCACGUGGCUUAUGCCUGUAAUCCCAGUGUUUUGGGAGGCCGAGGAGGGAGGAUCGCUUGAGCCCAGGAGGUGGAGGCUGCAGUGAGCUGUGAUUGUGCCACUGGACUCCAGCCUGGGUGACAGAGCGAGACCGUCAGGAAGUGGGGAGGAAGGGAAGAGAAAAGCUGAACUGAGUGAUGGCAGCUUAUCUUUUUAUGUAUUUUUUGUGCUGUUCUGGGGCAGUCUGGGAGGAGGUAGGCUGGCCUAGGGAAUGAUGUGUGCUUUGUGUGUGCUGAUGUGUGCUGUGUGUGUGCUGAUGUGUGCUGUGUGAGUGCUGAUGUGUGCUGUCUGUGCGCUGAUGUGUGCUGUGUGUGCUGUGUGAGUGCUGAUGUGUGCUGUGUGCUGUGUGUGUGCUGAUGUGUGCUGUGUGUGUGCUGUGUGAGCGCUGAUGUGUGCUGUGUGAGUGCUGAUGUGUGCUGUGUGUGCUGUGUGUUGUGUGUGCUGUGUGAGUGCUGAUGUGUGCUGUGUGCUGAUGUGUGCUGUGUGUGCUGUGUGCUGUGUGUGCACUGAUGUGUGCUGUGUGUGUGCUGUGUGCUGUGUGAGCGCUGAUGUGUGCUGUGUGAGUGCUGAUGUGUGCUGUGUGUGCUGAUGUGUGUUGUGUGUGCUGUGUGAGUGCUGAUGUGUGCUGUGUGCGCUGUGUGCUGUGUGCUGAUGUGUGCUGAUGUGUGCUGUGUGCUGACGUGUGCUGUGUGUGCGCUGAUGUGUGCUGUGUGUGUGCUGUGUGCUGUGUGUGCGCUGAUGUGUGCUGUGUGUGUGCUGUGUGCUGUGUGAGUGCUGAUGUGUGCUGUGUGUGCUGUGUGUGCUGAUGUGUGCUGUGUGCUGAUGUGUGCUGACGUGUGCUGUGUGCUGACGUGUGCUGUGUGUGCGCUGAUGUGUGCUGUGUGUGUGCUGUGUGCUGUGUGAGUGCUGAUGUGUGCUGUGUGUUGUGUGAGUGCUGAUGUGUGCUGUCUGUGCGCUGUGUGCUGUGUGAGCGCUGAUGUGUGCUGUGUGUGCUGUGUGCUGUGUGUGCAGUGAUGUGUGUUGUGUGAGUGCUGAUGUGUGCUGUGUGUGCGCUGAUGUGUGCUGUGUGUGCGCUUGUGUGUGCUGUGUGUGCGCUGAUGUGUGCUGUGUGUGCGCUUGUGUGUGCUGUGUGUGCUGAUGUGUGCUGUGUGAGUGCUGAUGUGUGCUGAUGUGUGCUGUGUGUGCUGAUGUGUGCUGUGUGUGCAGUGAUGUGUGCUGUGUGAGUGCUGAUGUGUGCUGUGUGUGCACUUGUGUGUGCUGUGUGUGUGCUGAUGUGUGCUGUGUGCUGUGUGUGCUGAUGUGUGCUGAUGUGUGCACUGUGUGCUGUGUGUGUGCUGAUGUGUGCUGUGUGCGGUGAUGUGUGCUGUGUGUGCGCUGAUGUGUGCUGUGUGUGUGCUGUGUGAGUGCUGGUGUGCUGAUGUGUGCACUGUGUGCUGUGUGUGUGGUGAUGUGUGCUGUGUGUGUGGUGAUGUGUGCUGUGUGUGCAGUGAUGUGUGCUGUGUGUGUGCUGAUGUGUGCUGAUGUGUGCACUGUAUGCUGUGUGUGUGGUGAUGUGUGCUGUGUGUGCAGUGAUGUGUGCUGUGUGAGUGCUGAUGUGUGCUGUGUGUGCUGUGUGUGCUGAUGUGUGCUGUGUGCUGAUGUGUGCUGACGUGUGCUGUGUGCUGACGUGUGCUGUGUGUGCGCUGAUGUGUGCUGUGUGUGUGCUGUGUGCUGUGUGAGUGCUGAUGUGUGCUGUGUGUUGUGUGAGUGCUGAUGUGUGCUGUCUGUGCGCUGAUGUGUGCUGUGUGUGCGCUUGUGUGUGCUGUGUGUGCUGAUGUGUGCUGUGUGAGUGCUGAUGUGUGCUGAUGUGUGCUGUGUGUGCAGUGAUGUGUGCUGUGUGAGUGCUGAUGUGUGCUGUGUGUGCACUUGUGUGUGCUGUGUGUGUGCUGAUGUGUGCUGUGUGCUGUGUGUGCUGAUGUGUGCUGAUGUGUGCACUGUGUGCUGUGUGCGGUGAUGUGUGCUGUGUGUGCGCUGAUGUGUGCUGAUGUGUGCUGUGUGAGUGCUGAUGUGUGCUGAUGUGUGCACUGUGUGCUGUGUGUGUGGUGAUGUGUGCUGUGUGUGCAGUGAUGUGUGCUGUGUGUGUGCUGAUGUGUGCUGUGUGUGCUGUGUGCUGUGUGUGCGCUGAUGUGUGCUGUGUGCUGUGAGUGCUGAUGUGUGCUGUGUGUGCUGAUGUGUGCUUUGUAUGUGCUGAUGUGUGCUGUGUGUGUGCUGAUGUGUGCUCUGUGUGCUGAUGUGUGCUGUGUGAGUGAUGUGUGCUGUCUGUGCGCUGUGUGCUGAUGUGUGCUGUGUGUGUGCUGAUGUGUGCUGUGUGUGUGCUGUGUGCUGUGUGAGCGCUGAUGUGUGCUGUGUGAGUGCUGAUGUGUGCUGUGUGUGCUGUGUGUUGUGUGUGCUGUGUGAGUGCUGAUGUGUGCGGUGUGCUGAUGUGUGCUGUGUGUGCUGAGUGCUGAUGUGUGCUGUGUGCUGUGUGUGCACUGAUGUGUGCUGUGUGUGUGCUGUGUGCUGUGUGAGUGCUGAUGUGUGCUGUGUGUGCUGAUGUGUGUUGUGUGUGCUGUGUGAGUGCUGAUGUGUGCUGUGUGCUGAUGUGUGCUGUGUGCUGAUGUGUGCUGUGUGUGCUGUGUGCGCUGUGUGCUGUGUGCUGAUGUGUGCUGAUGUGUGCUGUGUGCUGACGUGUGCUGUGUGUGCGCUGAUGUGUGCUGUGUGUGUGCUGUGUGCUGUGUGAGUGCUGAUGUGUGCUGUGUGUGCUGUGUGCGCUGAUGUGUGCUGUGUGCUGAUGUGUGCUGAUGUGUGCUGUGUGCUGACGUGUGCUGUGUGCUGAUGUGUGCUGUGUGCGCUGAUGUGUGCUGUGUGUGUGCUGUGUGCUGUGUGUGCACUGAUGUGUGCUGUGUGUGUGCUGUGUGCUGUGUGAGUGCUGAUGUGUGCUGUAUGUUGUGUGAGUGCUGAUGUGUGCUGUCUGUGCGCUGAUGUGCGCUGUCUGUGCGCUGUGUGCUGUGUGAGCGCUGAUGUGUGUGUGUGCUGAUGUGUGCUGUGUGUGCAGUGAUGUGUGCUGUGUGAGUGCUAAUGUGUGCUGUGUGUGCUGCUUGUUUGUGCUGUGUGUGUGCUGUGUGCUGUGUGAGUGCUGAUGUGUGCUGAUGUGUGCUGUGUGUGCUGAUGUGUGCUGAUGUGUGCACUGUGUGCUGUGUGUGCGGUGAUGUGUGCUGUGUGCGCUGAUGUGUGCUGUGUGUGUGCUGAUGUGUGCUGUGUGUGUGCUGUGUGCUGUGUGAGCGCUGAUGUGUGCUGUGUGAGUGCUGAUGUGUGCUGUGUGUGCUGUGUGUUGUGUGUGCUGUGUGAGUGCUGAUGUGUGCUGUGUGCUGAUGUGUGCUGUGUGUGCUGAGUGCUGAUGUGUGCUGUGUGCUGUGUGUGCACUGAUGUGUGCUGUGUGUGUGCUGUGUGCUGUGUGAGCGCUGAUGUGUGCUGUGUGAGUGCUGAUGUGUGCUGUGUGUGCUGAUGUGUGUUUUGUGUGCUGUGUGAGUGCUGAUGUGUGCUGUGUGCUGAUGUGUGCUGUGUGCUGAUGUGUGCUGUGUGUGCUGUGUGCGCUGUGUGCUGUGUGCUGAUGUGUGCUGAUGUGUGCUGUGUGCUGACGUGUGCUGUGUGUGCGCUGAUGUGUGCUGUGUGUGUGCUGUGUGCUGUGUGAGUGCUGAUGUGUGCUGUGUGUGCUGUGUGCGCUGAUGUGUGCUGUGUGCUGAUGUGUGCUGAUGUGUGCUGUGUGCUGACGUGUGCUGUGUGCUGAUGUGUGCUGUGUGUGCGCUGAUGUGUGCUGUGUGUGUACUGAUGUGUGCUGUGUGUGUGCUGUGUGCUGUGUGAGUGCUGAUGUGUGCUGUAUGUUGUGUGAGUGCUGAUGUGUGCUGUCUGUGCGCUGAUGUGUGCUGUCUGUGCGCUGUGUGCUGUGUGAGCAUGUGUGCUGUGUGUGUGCCCUGAUGUGUGCUGUGUGAGUGCUGAUGUGUGCUGUGUGUGUGCUGAUGUGUGCUGUGUGUACUGAUGUGUGCCGUGUGCACUGAUGUGUGCUGUGUGUGUCCACCGCGCUGUGGGCUCAGAACCCACUGGGAGGGUGGAGCUCAUGUUAGCAUUUCUUACCAUCUACAGACACGCAAUAUAAAGGGGCAGGAGGAGCCUUUGGGAGGCGAUGAACACGUGCAUGGCCUGAUCACGAUAAUGUCUUCGUGGACACACUCAUCCACAAACUCACUGAGUGGUCUAUGUUAGGCAUGUACAGCUUCUUACAUGCCGGUCACACCUCAACAAAGUGGCUUAGAAAACAUGCUAAAAGCACCAGCUAUUAAGAAAAAGAUUGAUAAAUUAGACUAUAAUAACAUUAAAAUAUUUUGUUCAUCAAAAGACCCAUUUAAGAGAGUGAAAAGAACUGGUACAGAGAAGACAUUUGUCAUUCAUAUAAACAAUAAAAAUUAUAUCCAAAGUAUACCAGGAAAAUCCAACAAACCUCAAAGAACAAAACCCAGAUAACCCCACAGAAGAACCGGUGAGAGACAAAACAGGCUCUUCACAAACAGCUGGUUGGUGAAAAGCCGAAAGGGCUGGGACUCCCGGGCACACCAGGACAUGCAGACAGACAGGGUGUCUGGUAACGGGGGGUGGGGCAGAUAAAUUGUGGUGGGUGGAACACGGCCGGCCACAGAGACCAGCCACGGAGCCAGGCAGGAACCAGAGCCACAGAGACCAGCCACGGAGCCAGGCAGGAGCCGGAGCCAUGGAGCCAGGCAGGAGCCGUAGCCACAGAGACCAGCCACGGAGCCAGGCAGGAGCCGGAGCCACAGAGACCAGCCACGGAGCCAGGCAGGAGCCGGAGCCACAGAGACCAGCCACGGAGCCAGGCAGGAGCCGGAGCCACGGAGACCAGCCACGGAGCCAGGCAGGAGCCGGAGCCACGGAGACCAGCCACGGAGCCAGGCAGGAGCCGGAGCCACGGAGACCAGCCACGGAGCCAGGCAGGAGCCGGAGCCGCAGAGACCCACCACAGAGCCAGGCAGGAGUCGGAGCCACGGAGCCAGGCAGGAACUGG
rnacentral:lncRNA from 1 species